rnacentral:rRNA from 1 species
CACGUAGGGUGCGAGCGUUGUCCGGAAUUAUUGGACGUAAAGAGCUCGUAGGCGGUGUGUCGCGUCGGCCGUGAAAACCUGCAGCUUAACUGUGGGCGUGCGGUCGAUACGGGCAUCACUGGAGUUCGGCAGGGGAGACUGGAAUUCCUGGUGUAGCGGUGAAAUGCGCAGAUAUCAGGAGGAACACCGGUGGCGAAGGCGGGUCUCUGGGCCGAUACUGACGCUGAGGAGCGAAAGCGUGGGGAGCGAACAGG